rnacentral:tRNA from 1 species
GAGGUGUUGCCCGAGUGGUUAAAGGGGAUGGAUUGUAAAUCCAUUAGCUAAGCUUACGCUGGUUCAAAUCCAGCACGCCUCA